rnacentral:rRNA from 1 species
UACGUAGGGUGCAAGCGUUAAUCGGAAUUACUGGGCGUAAAGCGUGCGCAGGCGGUUUGUUAAGACAGAUGUGAAAUCCCCGGGCUUAACCUGGGAACUGCAUUUGUGACUGGCAAGCUAGAGUAUGGCAGAGGGGGGUAGAAUUCCACGUGUAGCAGUGAAAUGCGUAGAGAUGUGGAGGAACACCGAUGGCGAAGGCAGCCCCCUGGGUCAAGAUUGACGCUCAUGCACGAAAGCGUGGGGAGCAAACAGG